rnacentral:rRNA from 1 species
CUACGGGUUGCACCAGUGGGGAAUAUUGCACAAUGGGGGAAACCCUGAUGCAGCAACGCCGCGUGGAGGAUGACGCAUUUCGGUGUGUAAACUCCUUUUAUAUAGGAGGAUAAUGACGGUACUAUAUGAAUAAGCACCGGCUAACUCCGUGCCAGCAGCCGCGGCAAUACGGAGGGUGCAAGCGUUACUCGGAAUCACUGGGCGUAAAGCGCGCGCAGGCGGCCCCUUAAGUUGGAUGUGAAAGCCUACGGCUUAACCGUAGAACUGCAUCCAAAGCUGAGGGGCUAGAGUCUGGGAGGGGAAGAUGGAAUUAGUUGUGUAGGGGUAAAAUCCGUAGAGAUAACUAGGAAUACCAAAAGCGAAGGCGAUCUUCUGGAACAGUACUGACGCUGAGGCGCGAAAGCGUGGGGAGCAAACAGGAUUAGAUACCCCAGUAGUC